ACACAGAUCUGACACGUUGAUAUUUUAAUAUUCAAAUGACGACAACAAAGGGACAGCCAGAGUGUCUGAAGAGGAUCAAUAAGGUGUUGAGAGCAGUCUCCGUCGGCACAGAAAGGGAGAAACAUCAGAGCAGAGGGAAGCUGUGGACAUUCACAAGAUGGUGAAGAUGCAGUGGAGUCUGUUGGUGUUGAUUGUGAUGGGUCAGUGUUCCUCCAUUGGGGGUCAGCUGUGUGACUACCACUUCAUUGGAGAGAAUAUGACCUGGAAAGAAGCCAAGGAUUAUUGCAAAAAGAACCACACUGACCUGGCCACAGUGUCUAACCAGACAGACAUGAAGAGACUCCUUAACUCCACGACUGAACAGUAUCAAGGUGGAGCCUGGAUUGGGCUGCAA